AGUGAACGCUGGCGGUAGGCCUAACACAUGCAAGUCGAACGGCAGCACAGUAAGAGCUUGCUCUUACGGGUGGCGAGUGGAGGACGGGUGAGGAAUACAUCGGAAUCUACUUUUUCGUGGGGGAUAACGUAGGGAAACUUACGAUAAUACCGCAUACGACAUACGGGUGAAAGCAGGGGAUCUUCGGACCUUGCGCGAUUGAAUGAGCCGAUGUCGGAUUAGCUAGUUGGCGGGGUAAAGGCCAACCAAGGCGACGAUCCGUAGCUGGUCUGAGAGGAUGAUCAGCCACACUGGAACUGAGACACGGUCCAGACUCCUACGGGAGGCAGCAGUGGGGAAUAUUGGACAAUGGGCGCAAGCCUGAUCCAGCCAUACCGCGUGGGUGAUGAAGGCCUUCGGGUUGUAAAGCCCUUUUGUUGGGAAAGAAAAGCAGCAGGUUAAUACCCCGCUGUUCUGACGGUACCCAAAGAAUAAGCACCGGCUAACUACGUG
rnacentral:rRNA from 1 species